CUGGGAAGAGAGGCAAUCGCUCUUAUUUUUUAAGUAAGGGAGGAAAGUCUGGACUUCAUAGGAGAGGAUACCAGCGAAAAGCUGGGGGCCGUAAGGCUACGGAAAGUGUAACAGAAAAUAUACCGCUGUUUAACUUUUGUUAAAUAGACAGGGUGAAAUGCUAACUUUAAGAGGAAGCUCUACUUGAGGAGACUCAAGAGAUGACAAACCCUAUCCGAAGCAAGACCGAAUUAAAGCUAUAUAGUUCUCCGCUAUGCUUUAUAAGGGUCGCUUGAGCAUGUUAGUGAUAAUGUGCCUAGAUGAAUGAUUGCCCAACGGUCGUAAGACCGUGAGACAGAAUCCGGCUUAAAAUCUUCCCAGACUU
rfam:Neochlamydia sp. EPS4 DB42_CT, whole genome shotgun sequence.